GUUUGCUGUCCUGGUGUAUUUCUGCAGGGCAGUGCCCUGCAAAGCUGAGUAGGAAGGUUCAGCACUGCCCUGUCACAGCUUGGCUGAGCAGUGAUUAGGUUUUCAUUCCCAAAUGUGUCAUCUGUGAGAUUUGCAGGCCAUUUCCUUGAUAUAAGGGGGAAACUAGAGGAAAGUUGUGAUUAAACUGCUGAAGUGAUUGAUGUAGGCAGUUGCUGUGAUCCUGGCCCAUGGCCAACAUCACUGGGAAGCUGCAGUGCCUGGAAGCACAGGAAGCACAGGGAUAUGGAGCAAACAGUGACAAUCUGCCAAUUUCAUCUGUGAAUGUAUGGACUCAGGAGACAGGCUAUCAUCUCUUGGAGGAAGCAGUUAUGGGACAGUGUGUGUCAGCUGGAAGAUGAAGGGCCCUGUGCUCCUUUAAAGAGGAGAAUAAACCCCUUUUCCAUUUCUCCAAGUUCUUCUGAAAUGCUUGUUUGGCAGUUGUUGAGAAGACAGAAGAAGAAGGCCCAGGUGGAGAACUUCCCUGUGUAGUACUUCCACUGGCUUGCAUUUUCCUUGCUCUUGCUCCACACUAUGGGCUAGGUACAACGCAAAUCAAGAUGCUGGAUGUUAGCUACGCGGUUUUGGAGGGUACCCAGUCAUAAAGAACUUGAUGCAAGAUGAAGUUUUCAUUUUGAAUGCUUAAAAGUGAGCUUUUCAAGACUUUUGUGUGUAAAUACAGGGAAGCCUAUACAAGAAAGCGCCUCAAUUAAAACCCUUCUUUUAAUUGACAGUCUCAAAUAGAGGAAGCUUGAUUUCACUCCAUGUUCUCUGGAAAUACCAUUUCUACUAAGAGAGCUUCACAUA